UCUCUCAAAACCAAGUCGAGGCAUGGAUCCCGUGUAAUCAAGGAGCUUAUUGCGUCAAGAUUAUUUUCCUCCUCUGGAUCAGUGUCGUGCGCUCAAGGGAUUCAAUCUAGAAUCUUCUCACCUACAGUACAACCUAUGGAUGCCCGAGAUCGGUCGGGGCAUAACUAUGCUCAUCAGGGACCCUAUAUGGCAGGAUUAAUAUCUUUUCUUGAUUUCUUUUGUUGCUGCUCUGCCACAAUCUCCUGUUCAUGGAAGUAC